GACGAACGUUGGCGGCGUGCCUAAUACAUGCAAGUUGAGCGCUGAAGGUUGGUACUUGUACCAACUGGAUGAGCAGCGAACGGGUGAGUAACGCGUGGGGAAUCUGCCUUUGAGCGGGGGACAACAUUUGGAAACGAAUGCUAAUACCGCAUAAAAACUUUAAACACAAGUUUUAAGUUUGAAAGAUGCAAUUGCAUCACUCAAAGAUGAUCCCGCGUUGUAUUAGCUAGUUGGUGAGGUAAAGGCUCACCAAGGCGAUGAUACAUAGCCGACCUGAGAGGGUGAUCGGCCACAGUGGGACUGAGACACGGCCCAAACUCCUACGGGAGGCAGCAGUAGGGAAUCUUCGGCAAUGGACGAAAGGCUGACCGAGCAACGCCGCGUGAGUGAAGAAGGUUUUCGGAUCGUAAAACUCUGUUGGUAGAGAAGAACGUUGGUGAGAGUGGAAAGCUCAUCAAGUGACGGUAACUACCCAGAAAGGGACGGCUAACUACGUG
rnacentral:rRNA from 1 species